CCUACGGGAGGCAGCAGUAAGGAAUAUUGGUCAAUGGAGGCAACUCUGAACCAGCCAUGCCGCGUGCAGGAAGAAGGCCCUAUGGGUCGUAAACUGCUUUUGUACCAGAGAAAACCACAGUACGUGUACUGUGUUGAUAGUAUGGUAAGAAUAAGCAUCGGCUAACUUCGUGCCAGCAGCCGCGGUAAGACGAAGGAUGCAAGCGUUAUCCGGAUUCAUUGGGUUUAAAGGGUGCGUAGGCGGACUGAUAAGUCAGUGGUGAAAUCUCUCAGCUUAACUGAGAAACUGCCAUUGAUACUGUUAGUCUAGAGUAUAGAUGACGUUGGCGGAAUAUGACAUGUAGUGGUGAAAUACUUAGAUAUGUCAUAGAACACCGAUUGCGAAGGCAGCUAACGAAACUAUAACUGACGCUGAGGCACGAAAGUGCGGGGAUCAAACAGGAUUAGAUACCCUGGUAGUCCGCACCGUAAACGAUGAUUACUCGUUGUUGGCAAUAUGACCGUCAGCGACCAAGCGAAAGCGAUAAGAAAUCCACCUGGGGAGUACGCCGGCAACGGUUGAAACUCAAAGGAAUUGAGGCGNGAGAGNGCGACGGACGACACGAGGGAGGAGG
rnacentral:rRNA from 1 species